GACGAACGCUGGCGGCGUGCCUAAUACAUGCAAGUUGAGCGCUGAAGGUUGGUACUUGUACCAACUGGAUGAGCAGCGAACGGGUGAGUAACGCGUGGGGAAUCUGCCUUUGAGCGGGGGACAACAUUUGGAAACGAAUGCUAAUACCGCAUAAAAACUUUAAACACAAGUUUUAAGUUUGAAAGAUGCAAUUGCAUCACUCAAAGAUGAUCCCGCGUUGUAUUAGCUAGUUGGUGAGGUAAAGGCUCACCAAGGCGAUGAUACAUAGCCGACCUGAGAGGGUGAUCGGCCACAUUGGGACUGAGACACGGCCCAAACGCCUACGGGAGGCAGCAGUAGGGAAUCUUCGGCAAUGGACGAAAGUCUGACCGAGCAACGCCGCGUGAGUGAAGAAGGUUGUCGGAUCGUAAAACUCUGUUGGUAGAGAAUAACGUUGGUGAGAGUGGAAAGCUCAUCAAGUGACGGUAACUACCCAGAAAGGGACGGCUAACUACGUG
rnacentral:rRNA from 1 species